UACCAGACUCCUACGGGAGGCAGCAGUGGGGAAUAUUGCACAAUGGGGGAAACCCUGAUGCAGCGACGCCGCGUGAGUGAAGAAGUAUUUCGGUAUGUAAAGCUCUAUCAGCAGGGAAGAAAAUGACGGUACCUGAUUAAGAAGCCCCGGCUAACUACGUGCCAGCAGCCGCGGUAAUACGUAGGGGGCAAGCGUUAUCCGGAUUUACUGGGCGUAAAGGGAGCGCAGGCGGCCUGCCAAGUCUGGUGUGAAAACCCGGGGCCCAACCCCGGGCCUGCAUUGGAAACUGGCGGGCUGGAGUGUCGGAGGGGCAGGCGGAAUUCCUAGUGUAGCGGUGAAAUGCGUAGAUAUUAGGAGGAACACCGGUGGCGAAGGCGGCCUGCUGGACGAUGACUGACGCUGAGGCUCGAAAGCGUGGGGAGCAAACAGGAUUAGAUACCCCGGUA
rnacentral:rRNA from 1 species